UCCCGGAUGGCUCAGUGGGUAGAGAAUCUGCCUGCCAAGCAGGAGACUUAAGAAAUGCAGGUUUGAUUCCUGGGUCAGGAA
rnacentral:tRNA from 1 species